rnacentral:rRNA from 1 species
GACGAACGCUGGCGGCGUGCCUAAUACAUGCAAGUAGAACGCUGAAGAGAGGAGCUUGCUCUUCUUGGAUGAGUUGCGAACGGGUGAGUAACGCGUAGGUAACCUGCCUGGUAGCGGGGGAUAACUAUUGGAAACGAUAGCUAAUACCGCAUAAAAUUGAUUAUUGCAUGAUAAUUAAUUGAAAGAUGCAAUUGCAUCACUACCAGAUGGACCUGCGUUGUAUUAGCUAGUUGGUGAGGUAACGGCUCACCAAGGCGACGAUACAUAGCCGACCUGAGAGGGUGAUCGGCCACACUGGGACUGAGACACGGCCCAGACUCCUACGGGAGGCAGCAGUAGGGAAUCUUCGGCAAUGGGGGGAACCCUGACCGAGCAACGCCGCGUGAGUGAAGAAGGUUUUCGGAUCGUAAAGCUCUGUUGUAAGAGAAGAACGGGUGUGAGAGUGGAAAGUUCACACUGUGA